rnacentral:rRNA from 1 species
GAUGAACGCUGGCGGCGGGCCUAAUACAUGCAAGUCGAGCGAACAGAGGAGGAUCGUGCUUGUCUUACGUGAGCGACGGACGGGUGAGGAAUACGAGGAUAACCGACCGAGAAGACUGGGGUAACGUCGGGGGACCGGAGCUAAUACCGGAUAAGAGGGUGAACGGGAGGGUUCUACAGAGAAAGAGGGAUUAGCUGACACUAGGAGAGAGAUCCGAGCCGGAUUAGCUAGUUGGUAAGGUAACGGCGUACCAAGGCAACGAUGCGUAGCCGACCUGAGAGGGUGAUCAGCCACACUGGAACUGAGACACGGUCCAGACUCCUACGGGAGGCAGCAGUGGGGAAUCUUCGGCAAUGGGCGAAAGCCUGACGCAGCCAUGCCGCGUGAGUGAUGAAGGUCUUCGGAUCGUAAAACUCUGUUAGUAGGGAAGAAGAAAAGUGUAAGUAUCUCUGCACGUCUUGACGUUACCUACACAGAAAGCCCCGGCUAACUACGUG